GCUUUAUAAUAAUAAAGAUUUAUGCGUCAAAGAUUAAGAAGCUCAGAAACAGGAGAGACGAGCUUCAUUUUUCCCUAUAAGUAUUAAUUCAGUUUUUAUCUGAAGAGACAAUGACAUUUUCUGUCCAUUCAUGCCUGAGGAACUCGUAUGUUGUCAUUUGGGAUGAUCUUCGACCAGAACAUUCUUACAGAUGUGGCAAGUAGGACACGCCCACUAAUUGUGAGGCAGCAGAACACACUUGUGUUAAUUUGGUGGCGGUGCUUUAAAAGCUCUCCUCCUCUUCGUUCAGACAUGCAUUUGUGCUGUGCCAUACAUCCAAGGCAUCGGGAAGUAGAGCGGGGGUUGACAGGCAGCUCCAUGCACACAAGAAACCGGCCAGACUUUGGCGCAUCUGCAACGUAGCGGCAAUGAUCUGCAAGCGUGACGUGACUCUGUUUACCUAGAUCCGCCCUCCUCUCAGUGACCGGAACGUGUUUGAGGCUGCACGCCCUUCUCACCCCGCAAAUAGGGGUUUAAGCUGCUGCUUUGCUUUUAUUGUUUUUAUUGUGAUUUCUGUCCGGGUCCCACCCCCGCCACGACGAAACCGGUUGGAGCGAACGCCCAGCUCACGGAGACGUCGUUGCUGUGGCAUCUCACCUGACUGUGGACGACUCCCACCAGCUGAUCGGCGGUGGUUGGGCGGCUUACCAGCGCCCCGGAACACUAAUCAUCUUUUUAACCUUUACUUUUAAUUGUGUGUCUUUUAGGCAAGGCAAGGCAAGUUUAUUUGUAUAGCACAAUUCGUACACAAAGUAAUUCAAG